rnacentral:rRNA from 1 species
UACGAACUGCGCGAACGUUAUUCGGAAUCACUGGGCUUACAGGGUGCGUAGGCGGCGGAGAAAGUAGGGUGUGAAAUGCCUUGGCUCAACCAAGGCACAGCGCUCUAAACUACUUCGCUCGAGUGAGUCAGGGGUGCACGGAACUUCCGGUGGAGCGGUGAAAUGUGUUGAUAUCGGAAGGAACACCGGUGGCGAAAGCGGUGCACUGGGGCUCAACUGACGCUGAGGCACGAAAGCCAGGGUAGCGAACGGG